rnacentral:rRNA from 1 species
UACGUAGGGGGCAAGCGUUGUCCGGAUUUAUUGGGCGUAAAGCGCGUGUAGGUGGCCAAGUAGGUCCGCUGUGAAAACUUGAGGCUCAACCUCAAGCUGUCGGUGGAAACCGCUUGGCUAGAGUCCGGAAGAGGAGAGUGGAAUUCCUGGUGUAGCGGUGAAAUGCGCAGAUAUCAGGAAGAACACCAAUGGCGAAGGCAGCUCUCUGGGACGGUACUGACACUGAGACGCGAAAGCGUGGGGAGCGAACAGG